GCCAGUGUGGUGUAGUGGUUUGAGCGCUGGACUAUAGACUCUGGAGAGCAGGGUUUGAAUCUCUGCUUGGCC